rnacentral:rRNA from 1 species
UACGGGGGGGGCAAGCGUUGUUCGGAAUUACUGGGCGUAAAGGGCUCGUAGGCGGCCAACUAAGUCGGAUGUGAAAUCCCCAGGCUCAACCUGGGAACUGCAUCCGAUACUGGAUGGCUUGAAUUCGGGAGAGGGAUGCAGAAUUCCAGGUGUAGCGGUGAAAUGCGUAGAUAUCUGGAGGAACACCGGUGGCGAAGGCGGCAUCCUGGACCGAGAUUGACGCUGAGGCGCGAAAGCCAGGGGAGCAAACGGG